AUACCAUGGUGUGGACACUGUCUUUGCAAUGCCAUGUAUCUCUACCAUGCCUCAUAGAGAGACUCCAAUUCAUGUUGUUGAAACCAGAUAGCUCAUUUUAUGAACUU
rfam:Beta vulgaris subsp. vulgaris Bvchr8_un.sca009.con0024.1, whole genome shotgun sequence.